GACGAACGCUGGCGGCGUGCUUAACACAUGCAAGUCGAGCGGUAAGGCCCUUUCGGGGGUACACGAGCGGCGAACGGGUGAGUAACACGUGGGUGACCUGCCCUUAGCUCUGGGAUAAGCCUGGGAAACUGGGUCUAAUACCGGAUAUGACUCCAUGACGCAUGUUGUGGGGUGGAAAGCCUUGUGCGGCUAGGGAUGGGCCCGCGGCCUAUCAGCUUGUUGGUGGGGUGAUGGCCUACCAAGGCGACGACGGGUAGCCGGCCUGAGAGGGCGACCGGCCACACUGGGACUGAGACACGGCCCAGACUCCUACGGGAGGCAGCAGGUGGGGAAUUCUUGCG
rnacentral:rRNA from 1 species